rnacentral:lncRNA from 8 species
AUGAAAAAGUCAUCAGCUCAAGAGUUCACGAUACUGUUACUACUGUUACUACUGUUACUACUGUUCUGUUCUAUUCUAUUCUAUUACUACUACUGUUGCUACUGUUACUACUGUUACUACUGUUCUGUUCUAUUCUAUUCUAUUACUGUUACUACUGUUACUACUGUUCUGUUCUAUUCUAUUCUAUUACUGUUACUACUGUUACUACUGUUACUACUGUUACUACUGUUAAUACUGUUACUACUGUUACUACUGUUACUACUGUUACUACUGUUCUGUUCUAUUACUACUACUGUUACUACUGUUACUACUGUUACUACUGUUCUGUUCUAUUCUAUUCUAUUACUACUACUGUUACUACUGUUACUACUGUUACUACUGUUCUAUUCUAUUCUAUUCUAUUACUACUACUGUUACUACUGUUACUACUGUUACUACUGUUACUACUGUUGUGUUCUAUUCUAUUAUAUUACUACUACUGUUACUACUGUUACUACUGUUACUACUGUUACUACUGUUGUGUUCUAUUCUAUUCUAUUACUACUACUGUUACUACUGUUACUACUGUUACUACUGUUACUACUGUUCUGUUCUAUUCUAUUACUACUACUGUUACUACUGUUACUACUGUUACUACUGUUCUGUUCUAUUCUAUUCUAUUACUACUACUGUUACUACUGUUACUACUGUUCUGUUCUAUUCUAUUACUACUACUGUUACUACUGUUACUACUGUUACUACUGUUCUGUUCUGUUCUAUUCUAUUACUACUACUGUUGCUACUGUUACUACUGUUACUACUGUUCUGUUCUAUUCUAUUCUAUUACUGUUACUACUGUUACUACUGUUCUGUUCUAUUCUAUUCUAUUACUACUACUGUUACUACUGUUACUACUGUUACUACUGUUCUGUUCUAUUAUAUUAUAUUACUACUACUGUUACUACUGUUACUACUGUUCUGUUCUAUUCUAUUCUAUUCUAUUACUACUACUGUUACUACUGUUACUACUGUUACUACUGUUACUACUGUUCUGUUCUAUUCUAUUCUAUUACUACUACUGUUACUACUGUUACUACUGUUACUAAUGUUACUACUGUUACUACUGUUCUAUUCUAUUCUAUUCUAUUCUAUUACUACUACUGUUACUACUGUUACUACUGUUACUACUGUUACUACUGUUCUGUUCUAUUCUAUUACUACUACUGUUACUACUGUUACUACUGUUACUACUGUUACUACUGUUCUGUUCUAUUCUAUUACUACUACUGUUACUACUGUUACUACUGUUACUACUGUUCUAUUCUAUUCUAUUACUACUACUGUUACUACUGUUACUACUGUUACUACUGUUCUGUUCUAUUCUAUUCUAUUACUACUACUGUUACUACUGUUACUACUGUUACUACUGUUCUGUUCUAUUCUAUUCUAUUACUACUACUGUUACUACUGUUCUAUUCUAUUCUAUUCUAUUCUAUUACUACUACUGUUACUACUGUUACUACUGUUACUACUGUUCUGUUCUAUUCUAUUACUACUACUGUUACUACUGUUACUACUGUUACUACUGUUGUACUGUGA